GACGAACGCUGGCGGCGUGCUUAACACAUGCAAGUCGAACGGAAAGGCCCUGCUUUUGGGGGGUGCUCGAGUGGCGAACGGGUGAGUAACACGUGAGUAACCUGCCCUUGACUUUGGGAUAACUUCAGGAAACUGGGGCUAAUACCGGAUAGGAGCUCCUGCUGCAUGGUGGGGGUUGGAAAGUUGCGGCGGUUGGGGAUGGACUCGCGGCUUAUCAGCUUGUUGGUGGGGUAGUGGCUUACCAAUGCUUUGACGGGGAGCCGGACUGGGAGGGAGACCGGGCACAUAGGGCCUGGGGUACGGCCAGGAGUGAUACGGGCGGCAGGAGCGGGGAAUAUUGCACACGGCGCGGAGGGCGGGUGGAGCAACGCCGGGUGCGGGAGGACGGUUUUCGGGUUGGAACGGGCUUUCGCGUGUGACGCAGCGUGAGUGCCGGAACUGGGAAAAGAAGCACGGGCAAAUUAGUG
rnacentral:rRNA from 1 species